rnacentral:rRNA from 1 species
AUGGAGGGGGUCGCAGGGAUGAUGAAGGGUUUGGGGCUGUCGGAGGAGGAGAAGAAGAAGAUCAAGAUCUCGGCGAAGGAGAAGGGGAAGAGUGUGGGGAUGCAUGCGGUGGGGAAGAUUUUGUCGGAGCGGCUCGCGCAUCCCGAUGUGAUCUGCCUUUCGCUGGGUUGUGUGUGGUGCCCCAUCAAGGGUAUCGAUUGCAAAGAAGCGGGAGACAACAAGUUCGUGUUCACGUUCUUCCAGGAAUCCGGGAAGAGGAAAGCAUUAGAUGAUGGUCCCUGGAUGUUUGACAAGGAUUUGGUGGUUGUGGAGGAUUUUGUUCCCAGUAGAAGGAUGGAGGACUAUGUGUUUAACAGUGUCCCGAUCUGGGUGCGAGUAUUCAACCUGCCUCUCGGGAUGAUGACAGCGGAGGCAGCCGAGGAGAUUGGUGAUAUCAUUGGACAAUAUGUGGACGCCGACACCAAUGCAGAUGGUUCUGCCAUAGGGAAGUAUUUGAGGGUGAAAGUAAGAAUGAGGAUAGACAAGCCGCUAAUGAGAGGAUUCACAUUGGAGGAGGAGGAGCGGGUGGACGGGGCAGGUGAAGGAGAGGAGGCAGGGAGUGGUUGGUGCCGUUUUGAAUACGAGUUCCUCCCGGACUUCUGUUAUACGUGUGGUAUAAUUGGACAUUGUGAAAAGGACUGUGCCACUAAGCUCAAGAAAGGAGAGAAGGCCCAGUUCGGUCGGUGGCUUAAAGCUGAUAUGGGCUACAAGAGGAAUAAUCAGGACAGUGAAGGAUGGGGGAAGGGUGGUAGGCGGGGAAGUGGGAGCAAGAGCUUGGGGUUCAAUAGGUCAAAUGGUAGGAGUGGUAGUGGAAGUGAUAGCUUGUCAUGA